CCUACGGGUGGCAGCAGUGAGGAAUCUUGGUCAAUGGGCGCUAGCCUGAACCAGCCACGUAGCGUGAAGGAUGACUGCCCUAUGGGUUGUAAACUUCUUUUAUAUGGGAAUAAAGUCCUGUAUGUAUAUUUCUUUGCUUGUACCUUAUGAAUCCGGAUCGGCUAACUUCGUGCCAGCAGCCGCGGUAAUACGGAGGAUCCGAGCGUUAUCCGGAUUUAUUGGGUUUAAAGGGAGCGUAGGCGGGUUGUUAAGUCAGUUGUGAAAGUUUGCGGCUCAACCGGAACAGUGCAGUUGAUACUGGCAUCCUUGAGUGCAGUAGAGGUGGGCGGAAUUCGUGGUGUAGCGGUGAAAUGCUUAGAUAUAACGAAGAACUCCAAUUGCGAAGGCAGCCUGCUGGACUGUAACUGACGCUGAUGCUCGAAAGUGUGGGUAGCAAACAGGAUUAGAUACCCUGGUAGUC
rnacentral:rRNA from 1 species